rnacentral:rRNA from 1 species
CCCUUAGAUGUUCUGGGCCGCACGCGCGCUACACUGAUGCAUUCAACGAGUCUAAAACCUGCUCUGAUAGGGGUGGGUAAUCUUUUGAAUGUGCAUCGUGAUUGGGAUAGAUGAUUGCAAUUUUUCAUCUUCAACGAGGAAUGCCUAGUAAACGCAAGUCAUCAGCUUGCAUUGAUUACGUCCCUGCCCUUUGUACACACCGCCCGUCGCUCCUACCGAUUGAAUGAUCCGAUGAAUAUCAUGGAUUGAGGAUGCAAGUAGGUUCGCCUAUCUUCAUCUUCAAGAAGUGAAGUAAAUCUUAUCAUUUAGAGGAAGGAGAAGUCGUAACA